ACGUAGUUUCAGGGCGGGGCGAACAUCCCCACUGGCGGUAAAUAAACGCACUAGCUGCACUAGCUGUACUAACUGUAAUAAACGCGUUUACAAGCCCGCGCGCCACACUGUGGCUGAUUUGGUGAAAGUCCAAAGCCAACGGUUAUAGUCCGGAAGAAAGAAACGAGGA
rnacentral:ncRNA from 2 species